AUGAAGAACGUAGCGAAAUGCGAUAAGUAAUGUGAAUUGCAGAAUUCAGUGAACCAUCGAAUCUUUGAACGCACAUUGCGCCCGGCAGUAAUCUGCCGGGCAUGCCUGUCCGAGCGUCAUUUCUGCCCUCGAGCGAGUCCAGCAUCUAGGUGCUGGGCCCGCCCGGCGUUGGGGCACUACGGGAAGCCCUGUGCUGUCCCCCGUAGGCCCCGAAAUGAAGUGGCGGUCCUGCCGCGGCGCCCCCUGCGUAGUAUAACAGCUCGCUUCGGGACCCGGUGGAGGCCUGCCGUCAAACCUUACUCUCUAAGUUUGACCUCGGAUCAGGUAGGGUUACCCGCUGAACUUAAGCAUAUCAAUAAGCGGAGGA
rnacentral:misc_RNA from 1 species